GUAAUAGGGCACAAUUGACCCAAGUCCAAAUAAAAUUAACAGUCCAACAAAUACAGGCCUGCACAAGCCCAAUACACCAAAAACAAAAAAAGAAAGGAAACCCUAGCCCCGAAUACACCCAGCAGCCGCAUGUCUGCCCAACUCCGCCUCCAGCAGUUCCCAGGCGCCGCACGUCUCGGAAUCGACCACCCCAGGCGCGCCGUUUGCUCCACGUUCACCUGCGAAUGCGGACUCAAAGAGUCCGAAGAGAAAAAAACAAGCGAAAUAAUUGUAUUUUUUUCUUUUUUCGGCCUAUAAAAGGGUCUUCUAUAAUCUGUAACAGGGGGACGGGGAAAAAUAGAUACCAAAAAAUAGAAAGGAAAUACAAGAAAGUACAAAGUUUUUGAAGGUGAAUUGGUUUUUUUUUUCUUACAGAUUUUCUACUCUUUUGGUUGUUUUUUUUAUUUUUAUUUCAUAAACAAAAAUCAAAAAAGGGGGUAGUACCUUUGAGGACUCUCCGUCGAAGUCACGGCGACUUCGCUCAAAUCGGGGCUUGGCCGAACGUCGAAAUCGGUGCCUGAAUUCGGGCUAACCAAACCGCCUGAACGGUGGUGCGAUGAUGCUAGGGACAAAACCCUAGCAGAGCAAAAGGAGCCUUUUUUUUAUUUUUUUUCUUUUCA
rnacentral:lncRNA from 1 species